AAUGGGAUAGGUUGUAGGUGGGUAACGGCUCACCUAGGCGACGAUCCCUAGCUGGUUUGAGAGGAUGACCAGCCACAUUGGAACUGAGACACGUUCCAGAUUCUUACGGGAGGCAGCAGUGUGAAUAUUGCACAAUGGGCGCAAGCCUGAUGCAGCCAUGCGGCGUGUAUGAAGAAGGCCUUCGGGUUGUAAAGUACUUUCAGCGGGGAGGAAGGGAGUAAAGUUAAUACCUUUGCUCAUUGACGUUACCCGCAGAAGAAGCACCGGCUAACUCCGUGCCAGCAGCCGCGGUAAUACGGAGGGUGCAAGCGUUAAUCGGAAUUACUGGGCGUAAAGCGCACGCAGGCGGUUUGUUAAGUCAGAUGUGAAAUCCCCGGGCUCAACCUGGGAACUGCAUCUGAUACUGGCAAGCUUGAGUCUCGUAGAGGGGGGUAGAAUUCCAGGUGUAGCGGUGAAAUGCGUAGAGAUCUGGAGGAAUACCGGUGGCGAAGGCGGCCCCCUGGACGAAGACUGACGCUCAGGUGCGAACAGGUGGGGAGCAAACAGGAUUAGAUACCCUGGUAGUCCACGCCGUAAACGAUGUCGACUUGGAGGUUGUGCCCUUGAGGCGUGGCUUCCGGAGCUAACGCGUUAAGUCGACCGCCUGGGGAGUACGGCCGCAAGGUUAAAACUCAAAUGAAUUGACGGGGGCCCGCACAAGCGGUGGAGCAUGUGGUUUAAUUCGAUGCAACGCGAAGAACCUUACCUGGUCUUGACAUCCACGGAAGUUUUCAGAGAUGAGAAUGUGCCUUCGGGAACCGUGAGACAGGUGCUGCAUGGCUGUCGUCAGCUCGUGUUGUGAAAUGUUGGGUUAAGUCCCGCAACGAGCGCAAGCCUUAUCCUUUGUUGCCAGCGGUCCGGCCGGGAACUCAAAGGAGACUGCCAGUGAUAAACUGGAGGAAGGUGGGGAUGACGUCAAGUCAUCAUGGCCCUUACGACCAGGGCUACACACGUGCUACAAUGGCGCAUACAAAGAGAAGCGACCUCGCGAGAGCAAGCGGACCUCAUAAAGUGCGUCGUAGUCCGGAUUGGAGUCUGCAACUCGACUCCAUGAAGUCGGAAUCGCUAGUAAUCGUGGAUCAGAAUGCCACGGUGAAUACGUUCCCGGGCCUUGUACACACCGCCCGUCACACCAUGGGAGUGGGUUGCAAAA
rnacentral:rRNA from 1 species